rnacentral:rRNA from 1 species
GGAUAAUCUGCCCUCAGGUGAGGAAUAAUCCCGGGAAACUGGGGCUAAUGCCUCAUAGGAGACGGGUGCCGGAAUGCUCUGUCUCCGAAAGGUCCGCCGCCUGAGGAUGAGUCUGCGUCCGAUUAGGUUGUUGUUGGGGUAACGGCCCAACAAGCCUUUGAUCGGUACGGGUUGUGGGAGCAAGAGCCCGGAGUUGGAUUCUGAGACACGAAUCCAGGCCCUACGGGGCGCAGCAGGCGCGAAAACUUUACAAUGCGGGCAACCGUGAUAAGGGAACCUCGAGUGCCUGUAUAUGCAGGCUGUCUGGGUGUCUAAAACACACCUAAAGAAAGGGCCGGGCAAGACCGGUGCCAGCCGCCGCGGUAAUACCGGCGGCUCGAGUGGUGGCCACUUUUAUUGGGCUUAAAGCGUUCGUAGCUGGGUUAUUAAGUCCCUUGGGAAAUCCGACGGCUUAACCGUCGGGCGUCUAAGGGAUACUGGCAAUCUUGGAACCGGGAGAGGUGAGGGGUACUUCGGGGGUAGGAGUGAAAUCCUGUAAUCCUCGAGGGACCACCUGUGGCGAAGGCGCCUCACCAGAACGGCUUCGACAGUGAGGGACGAAAGCUGGGGGAGCAAACCGGAUUAGAUACCCGGGUAGUCCCAGCCGUAAACGAUGUGCGUUAGGUGUAUCGGUGACCACGAGUCACCGAGGUGCCGAAGGGAAACCGUGAAACGUACCGCCUGGGAAGUACGGUCGCAAGGCUGAAACUUAA